rnacentral:rRNA from 1 species
GGAGCUUGCUCCUUUGACGUUAGCGGCGGACGGGUGAGUAACACGUGGGUAACCUACCUAUAAGACUGGGAUAACUUCGGGAAACCGGAGCUAAUACCGGAUAACAUUUGGAACCGCAUGGUUCUAAAGUGAAAGAUGGUUUUGCUAUCACUUAUAGAUGGACCCGCGCCGUAUUAGCUAGUUGGUAAGGUAACGGCUUACCAAGGCAACGAUACGUAGCCGACCUGAGAGGGUGAUCGGCCACACUGGAACUGAGACACGGUCCAGACUCCUACGGGAGGCAGCAGUAGGGAAUCUUCCGCAAUGGGCGAAAGCCUGACGGAGCAACGCCGCGUGAGUGAUGAAGGGUUUCGGCUCGUAAAACUCUGUUAUUAGGGAAGAACAAACGUGUAAGUAACUGUGCACGUCUUGACGGUACCUAAUCAGAAAGCCACGGCUAACUACGUGCCAGCAGCCGCGGUAAUACGUAGGUGGCAAGCGUUAUCCGGAAUUAUUGGGCGUAAAGCGCGCGUAGGCGGUUUCUUAAGUCUGAUGUGAAAGCCCACGGCUCAACCGUGGAGGGUCAUUGGAAACUGGGAAACUUGAGUGCAGAAGAGGAAAGUGGAAUUCCAUGUGUAGCGGUGAAAUGCGCAGAGAUAUGGAGGAACACCAGUGGCGAAGGCGACUUUCUGGUCUGUAACUGACGCUGAUGUGCGAAAGCGUGGGGAUCAAACAGGAUUAGAUACCCUGGUAGUCCACGCCGUAAACGAUGAGUGCUAAGUGUUAGGGGGGUUUCCGCCCCUUAGUGCUGCAGCUAACGCAUUAAGCACUCCGCCUGGGGAGUACGACCGCAAGGUUGAAACUCAAAGG